rnacentral:rRNA from 1 species
GACGAACGCUGGCGGCGUGCUUAACACAUGCAAGUCGAACGGAAAGGCCCUGCUUUUGUGGUUUGCUCGAGUGGCGAACGGGUGAGUAACACGUGAGUAACCUGCCCUUGACUUUGGGAUAACUUCAGGAAACUGGGGCUAAUACCGGAUAGGAGCUCCUUCUGCAUGGUGGGGGUUGGAACGUUUCGGCGGUUGGGGAUGGACUCGCGGCUUAUCAGCUUGUUGGUGGGGUAGUGGCUUACCAAGGCUUUGACGGGUAGCCGGCCUGAGAGGGUGACCGGCCACAUUGGGACUGAGAUACGGCCCAGACUCCUACGGGAGGCAGCAGUGGGGAAUAUUGCACAAUGGGCGGAAGCCUGAUGCAGAAACGCCGCGUGCGGGAUGACGGCCUUCGGGUUGUAAACCGCUUUCGCCUGUGACGAAGCGUGAGUGACGGUAAUGGGUAAAGAAGCACCGGCUAACUACGUG